AAGUCGUAACAAGGUUUCCGUAGGUGAACCUGCGGAAGGAUCAUUAACACGUGUAUCCACGUAUAAACCAACGUGCACUUUCGUUCUCGUUUCUGGGGGCGUAGCUUGUUUUUUUGUUGGUUGUUGUUUUCUUCGGAAAAUGAUACUAACUAAAAAGCAGUGGCGUCCUGUCUUUGAUGCGACCUUUUUUCCCCUUCUUCACGGAAGAGGAGGAAGGCUCCUUCAUUGACGCAUAUUUUUUAACCCCAUUCUACUAAAUUGUCUAAUUUUAAACUGUUCUCCGCGAAAGCGGUCAACAAUUUCUCUUAUAUAAUUAAGAACAACUCUUAACGACGGAUAUCUUGGCUCUC
rnacentral:misc_RNA from 1 species